rnacentral:rRNA from 1 species
AACGAACGCUGGCGGCGUGGAUAAGACAUGCAAGUCGAACGGAAUUACUUUUGUAGCAAUACAGAAGUAAUUCAGUGGCGAACGGGUGCGUAACACGUGGGCAAUCUGCCGAGAAGUGGGGGAUAGCUCGCCGAAAGGCGAAUUAAUACCGCAUGUGGUGAGGGAAGACAUCUUCCUGAAUCCAAAGCCGGGGUAACCUGGCGCUUUUUGAGGAGCCCGCGGCCUAUCAGCUUGNGGUGAGGUAACGGCUCACCAAGGCUUUGACGGGUAGCUGGUCUGAGAGGACGACCAGUCACACUGGAACUGAGACACGGUCCAGACACCUACGGGUGGCAGCAGUCGAGAAUUUUUCUCAAUGGGGGAAACCCUGAAGGAGCGACGCCGCGUGGAGGAUGAAGGCUUUUGGGUGUAAACUCCUGUCAUUUGAGAACAAGGUGCACCGGUUAACUGCCGGUGCAUUGAUAGUAUCAGAA